rnacentral:ncRNA from 1 species
UAAUAUGCUUAGAAUGGGAAGAGUACAUCUGUAAUACCAUCAGAGAGAAAAACUAUUGUUAUAAAAUCCGUAGAAACAUACGUUUAUUGUUACUGUAUCGGAUAUUUAUACAAUGCUGAGAGGUUUUUUUGGAGCUAAAGAUGGAAGGUCGCCCAGGAGCAGCUUUUUUGAAGGGAAAAGUUUUAUUGCCAAUAGUCAUGGCAAUAUCGUUUUUCGUAAUAGAAAAAGCCGGUGGAAAUCCGUUACAUGAAUGAAGUGUGCCGUUGUUUACUUUAAUGAUUAUAAACAGUAUUCAUUGAAGGUAAAUGCAAUUUUACAAUGGCAAACAAAGGUGGUACCGCGAAUUUACUCUCUUCGUCCUUUGA